GUUGGUCCUACAUAACUUCCAGCCAUCAGACCUGCCGGGAGGAAACGCUUUCAUGUGCACUCAAACAGGAAGUGGAGGAUGGUUUCUAAAGUGCAAGAAGAAUACUCUGAGAGCAGUUGAGAACCUCUUCAGGUAUCACGAACAUGUUCUCCAACUGAAAUGUGGCUACAGUUCAAUAGCAGUUACACAACAGGAGGGGGUUUGCAGAGUACUGCAAGUCCUGGAUUCAUAGGAACUGGUUUUAGAGAGAAGACCUCGGGUUCCUCCAGAACUUUUAACUCCCAUGAAUGUAAAUGAGGACUCAUCUGCAGUAGUGAAGAGGAAAUUUACUCCUGUUGUUGACACUGGACAGGAGGAUUAGGAUAGGGGACUUAAUGUGUGCUAGGCAGAGCACUGCCUUUGAAAAACUGCAGGCAGUCCAAGUACAGGAGAUUCCAUUUGUGGGAAAAUCCCCUUUGGGAAGGCACACUAACAAUGGGGAGAACUUGGUAAACAAAGGAAACAAGUUGAAUGUGCUACUUCUCAGCUAAGUGCAGGCAUUUCUCUUCAGGUGGCGUGGCUUAAGGUGUCCUUUGAAGACUACAGAAUUAUUGCCAGACCACAUUCCCAUUUCUCUUGAGAUCAUAAAUGCACUUGUAUAGUUCAGGGCCACCCAAGUAGCUUUAGUCUCGGUCGAGUGAGAGAAUAUCUUCUGAUUUAAAAAUAGGAGUGCUUCUUACACUUAAGUCCUGCAGAGCUAUUGGAGCAGUGCACUGAAGGUAAGCUUUCCCCACCCACGUGUUGCAAGAGACUGGCACACCGAGAUCACUCAGGUGGGGUCCAGGGCUGAACACCUGGCACACCUUCGGCUGGCUGUGAUCUGGCUGUCACGUACCCAACAAGCACACCUCAGCAGUUCCACGUGGAACAAGAAAGUUAACACUGGGGCUGCGCUGGUUCAGAUGUGUUCUGUGUGCGCUGUGCUCAUUGGCACAAUGCUUGAUUUCACGCUGUGUUGCAUAAAGCACGCAGGGUAUCAUGUCGAGGUUACACUGGGUACAGACCCUGCUCUCUUGCCAGUAAUCCUGGGAAGGUCUAUUUUUGUUGUGUAGUGGUAAACCUGGGUUUGUAAAUGAUACUGCCCCACUCAGGAGCCAGUGUGCCUGUCCAUGCCAGACAAGUAGUCCGUGAGCUGACAAAUCCUUAAGUAUGGGGCUAGUUUUGAGUAAUUUAAAAAAA